rfam:Serratia symbiotica str. Tucson genomic scaffold scaffold00336, whole genome shotgun sequence.
CUGGUUGUGAGUAUAUGGGGACGAAUGGCUGACAUUCAACAGCCAGAAUACAGGAAAGAGAAAUGGGGGAUAAGAUCCCCCAUUUUACUGUCUA